CCGAUAGCGUGGCGGUCCUCUUGAGGGUAGAUCUUGACACAGUCACGAAGGACAGGGUUCGAGACCUAAUCAAAGCCCACAAAUGUGCCCUGGAGAAGCUGACCGUCGUGAAGGGAGACGCACAUACGGUAGGAAGGCACCACACUCGUGGCGGAGGUAAGGGUUCCGAGGAGCGAAGCUGGAAGUGCGAAGGGGUGGCGCUGACAGGGAAGGUUGCACCACCGAGGAGGAUAGGAAGCAUGCCGGAGGUGCCAGCCCUGGUCAAGGCUGACACGAAGAAGAGGGGCAGAGACGGCCUUGCGGGUCGCGUCAGCGGCAAGGGAGAUGGCAACAUGAGUGGCAAAAGACAAAAGAGCAAGGGGGCCACAUGCAGCCUGGGAGAACCCGACAUCCG
rnacentral:misc_RNA from 1 species